UGUACAAAUGUCAUGGAUUGUGGCUUGACUAGGUUUUAAUGACAAAGUGGAGACAACUCUUUAAAUGCCAUGUAAACAAAUUGUAUCUGGAUUUACCUCCUUAAAAACGAAUGACGAUUUAAACAUCAAACUGAAAGACUACGAAAUACAUGCUUAUCAUUCAAAUUAUAAUACAUCGUAUCUCAUUUAUAAUUAACUUGUUGUGUAGUAUAAAUUUGCCAAUUAAUCAUCUCUAUAUCAUCAAAGAUUAUUAUUUUUAAUAUUUACUUCAAUUUAGAUAACCUGCAUAUUCAAUUCUUAUACACAUUUGAACACAUUCUACGUAAAACCCUGUUGACCAUGGAUUGUCAGAGUUAUUUUCCUUCUAACAAAGAGUUACCUCCCUGCUAAAAAUGAGUUAUCUCCCAUGAGUAAUACUGAAAGCAUGUUUCUAUGUAAAACAAACAAAAAUAAAUUAAAAACUUCUCAAAAAUGUACAUGUAAAAAACAAAACAGUGCAGAAUGGAAAUGAGACAAAUAAAAAACAACUAACAAGUAAAAAUAUUAAAACAUUUAGUUUUAUACACCAACUCCACAAUAUAUUGCAACAAUCACCAUAAACAAAUUAAUUCCCUAUCCCAUGGUGGCGAUGAAUUUCUGGCAAGAUAUUAACUUUUAAUUGAAUUCUUAAACUAUUUAAUUUUUCUAAAAACUUUAUUUUGGCCCAACUUUUUUCAAGUUCAUUUUUUAAAUAAAGAAAUCUGUUUCAUACACAGCAUAUCUCAUAUUUUUAUAAAUGUAUGAAUUAUUAAUGGCAUUUAUAACUUUUUUUCAUAUUUUUAAUAUAUUUUGUUCUUUUAUUUAAGCAAAAAAUCUGCUAAUAUAUUUCUUCUAAAACAUCAAUUAACAGUAUAUUAAUUAAAAUAAAUUUUUAACAUAUCAUUUCUGACGGAGUGUAACAGUGUGGCUCUAUUUGCUAAAAAUCCUGCCAUAUUUUUGUGAAUUACAUCAUUUUUUUAUAACAAUAUGGAAAAUAGAAUAAAAUUUUUCUAUAGAAUUUGUUUUUGUUUUAUUAUAUACAACCACAAAGAUAAUGAUAAACC
rnacentral:lncRNA from 1 species